rnacentral:rRNA from 1 species
UACGUAGGGGGCAAGCGUUGUCCGGAAUCAUUGGGCGUAAAGAGCGUGUAGGCGGCCCGGUAAGUCCGCUGUGAAAGUCCAGGGCUCAACCCUGGGAUGCCGGUGGAUACUGUCGGGCUCGAGUCCGGAAGAGGCGAGUGGAAUCCCUGGUGUAGCGGUGAAAUGCGCAGAUAUCAGGAGGAACACCAAUGGCGAAGGCAGCUCGCUGGGACGUGACUGACGCUGAGACGCGAAAGCGUGGGGAGCAAACAGG